rnacentral:rRNA from 1 species
GAUGAACGCUGGCGGCGUGCCUAAUACAUGCAAGUCGAGCGAACGGACGAGAAGCUUGCUUCUCUGAUGUUAGCGGCGGACGGGUGAGUAACACGUGGAUAACCUACCUAUAAGACUGGGAUAACUUCGGGAAACCGGAGCUAAUACCGGAUAAUAUUUUGAACCGCAUGGUUCAAAAGUGAAAGACGGUCUUGCUGUCACUUAUAGAUGGAUCCGCGCUGCAUUAGCUAGUUGGUAAGGUAACGGCUUACCAAGGCAACGAUGCAUAGCCGACCUGAGAGGGUGAUCGGCCACACUGGAACUGAGACACGGUCCAGACUCCUACGGGAGGCAGCAGUAGGGAAUCUUCGGCAAUGGGCGAAAGCCUGACGGAGCAACGCCGCGUGAGUGAUGAAGGUCUUCGGAUCGUAAAACUCUGUUAUUAGGGAAGAACAUAUGUGUAAGUAACUGUGCACAUCCUGACGGUACCUAAUCAGAAAGCCACGGCUAACUACGUG